AGAAAAGCAAAUUAAGCUUCUAACUUAAUACAUGAUUUUUAUAAAUCACUUUUCU
rnacentral:tRNA from 1 species